AACCAUAACUCCGAGAUAGCAGCCCUGAGUUCGGUAACGAAUACGGUCUGCUGUCCGUGGCCUUGACGGCCACCAGGGUUACGGCGGAAACGCCGUAGCCUCCCGUGUUUGGAAAGGAGUGCAAUGAUG
rnacentral:ncRNA from 1 species